CUAAGUGGAAUGACGACCUCAGU
rnacentral:piRNA from 1 species